CGAGGGGGGCGAGCGUUGUUCGGAAUUAUUGGGCGUAAAGGGUGCGUAGGCGGUUUGGUAAGUCUGAUGUGAAAUCUAUGGGCUCAACUCAUAGUCUGCAUCGGAAACUGCCGGGCUUGAGUGUGGGAGAGGUGAGUGGAAUUCCUGGUGUAGCGGUGAAAUGCGUAGAUAUCAGGAGGAACACCUGUGGCGAAAGCGGCUCACUGGACCAUAACUGACGCUGAUGCACGAAAGCUAGGGGAGCAAACAGGAUUAGAUACCCUGGUAGUCCUAGCCCUAAACGAUGACUGCUUGGUGUGACGGGUACCCAAUCCCGCCGUGCCGUAGCUAACGCGUUAAGCAGUCCGCCUGGGGAGUACGGUCGCAAGGCUA
rnacentral:rRNA from 1 species